UUGAGUUUUAAGGUUAUUUGUACUUGCUUAUUUAUUUAUAUAAGGUACGGAUUUUUAAAUUUCUUCUACAUUUAUUUAUUAAUUUAUUAGAAAAUCGACGGUAGUGUCUCCCUUUUACAAUGUUUAGUUAAAUGUAACCAGUAAGAAGGAAAUAAAAAGUUAAUUAACAAAGUAAACGAAAAUGCUUCUUUUGAGCAGAAGAAUGUAAUGUAAACAGAAAAGUUUUUCCUGAGUUUUAUAAGGUGGUUUAUCUUUUGCAUCGAUAAUCAUAUAAAAUAAGAGGCGAGGUAUAAUGGACGAAAAUCUAUUCUAAUCUGUAGACGAUUUUGAAGAACGUUUUUUAAUUUUUGAAGAUCUGAAAAAAUUUACAUUAGUUGAGAAGUCAUUAAUAUUUACAAGAAACAUCAUUUCGGAUGUAAAGACACAGAAGAGUAGGUCGCAAAAUACAUACAUUUUAUGCAGUCCAGGCAUAAAAACAAUCUGGUUUAUCAUUAGUGCAGUUGGUCAAUUACAAAAUGUACAUAAAAUGAUAUUGUUUGAAAUUGAGGAAGCUAAAGCUGUUAAUACCGAAUACUACUGUAUCAAUCAAGAGAUAUAUGUUGCCAUUGAUAUUGGUAUCAUAGAUUGAGUAUAUAAUGUACCUGGUGCGAAGCUUCCUGUUUGUAAUAGAAAAGUCAAUCCUGAUCAUGAUAUGGUUUUUAAAAGGGGAUUCCACAUACCAUAGAUCAAAGAUAUUAUAAUUAAAUAGACCCAUCACUUCAUGUGAUGGCACUUCAAAUGCCGUCUAUAUACAGAACAAAGAAUUAUAAUAUGAAAUGAAUGUCAUCAACUGUGGUAGGGCAUUGUGAUUUCAAGGUAGGUUAGGUUAUACAAUGUUAUACAAUGCCCCCCCCCCCCAACUAUGGCUGAGACCGGAAGGCGUACUAAACGAAUGCAUAAUGUAUUUGUUAAUACACAUUUAAGCGACCAGCAGAUAAAAAACAUUUAAAUCAAAAUAUGUAUUUGUUUAAUGUAUGUACGUACAUAAUGUACGCAUCCAUAUAAUCUAUUGUAACAUCUAGUGCAAAAAGUCUAAUUUUUUAUUG
rnacentral:lncRNA from 1 species